rnacentral:rRNA from 1 species
UACGUAGGGGGCAAGCGUUGUCCGGAAUCAUUGGGCGUAAAGCGCGUGUAGGCGGCCUUGUAAGUCCGUUCUGAAAGCCCGGGGCUCAACCCCGGGAGGCGGAUGGAUACUGCAAGGCUCGAGUACGGAAGAGGCGAGUGGAAUUCCCGGUGUAGCGGUGAAAUGCGCAGAUAUCGGGAGGAACACCAAUGGCGAAGGCAGCGACCUGGGCCAAUACUGACGCUGAGGUGCGAAAGCGUGGGGAGCAAACAGG